rnacentral:lncRNA from 1 species
CACAUCAUAAUCCCACUUGCUGUCAUUCCAGAAACGUACAGCUUCACCAGAUGGGCUCGUGGCAAAGUGGGAAAAGAUAUGUACAAGCACGACUACAGCUCAGUGGGGAGCAAACUGCUGGAACAAUUUUUACAUACAAAGCCCAACAAAAAGAACAGGGAAGAAGCACCCGGGACAUCACAGCUUGAAGAGAUGUCCUUCCACGAAAACUCACUCUGCGAUGUGUCGUCCUUUACACGCAACGACAGAUUCCACCUCAUGGAUCUCAAAAGCUCUGCUCUGGG